rnacentral:rRNA from 1 species
GAUGAACGCUGGCGGCGUGCCUAAUACAUGCAAGUCGAGCGAACAGACGAGGAGCUUGCUCCUCUGACGUUAGCGGCGGACGGGUGAGUAACACGUGGAUAACCUACCUAUAAGACUGGGAUAACUUCGGGAAACCGGAGCUAAUACCGGAUAAUAUAUUGAACCGCAUGGUUCAUUAGUGAAAGACGGUUUUGCUGUCACUUAUAGAUGGAUCCGCGCCGCAUUAGCUAGUUGGUAAGGUAACGGCUUACCAAGGCAACGAUGCGUAGCCGACCUGAGAGGGUGAUCGGCCACACUGGAACUGAGACACGGUCCAGACUCCUACGGGAGGCAGCAGUAGGGAAGCUUCCGCAAUGGGCGAAAGCCUGACGGAGCAACGCCGCGUGAGUGAUGAAGGUCUGCGGAUCGUAAAACUCUGUUAUUAGGGAAGAACAAAUGUGUAAGUAACGAUGCACGUCUUGACGGUACCUAAUCAGAAAGCCACGGCGAACUACGU